rnacentral:rRNA from 1 species
AUUGAACGCUGGCGGCAUGCCUUACACAUGCAAGUCGAACGGCAGCACGGGUGCUUGCACCUGGUGGCGAGUGGCGAACAGGUGAGUAAUAUAUCGGAACGUACCUUAUUGUGGGGGAUAACGCAGCGAAAGCUGUGCUAAUACCGCAUAAUCCCUAAGGGGGAAAGCGGGGGACCGUAAGGCCUCGCGCAAUUAGAGCGGCCGAUACCUGAUUAGCUAGUUGGCGAGGUAAAGGCUCACCAAGGCAACGAUCAGUAGCUGGUCUGAGAGGACGAUCAGCCCCACUGGGACUGAGACACGGCCCAGACUCCUACGGGAGGCAGCAGUGGGGAAUUUUGGACAAUGGGGGCAACCCUGAUCCAGCAAUGCCGCGUGAGUGAAGAAGGCCUUCGGGUUGUAAAGCUCUUUUGUCAGGGAAGAAACAGCAGCUCUAACACAGUUUGCGAAUGACGGUACCUGAAGAAUAAGCACCGGCUAACUACGUGCCAGCCGCCGCGGUAA